rnacentral:misc_RNA from 1 species
GGCAGCAACUGGUUAGUUAUGUUGUGCACCUCCUGUUUUACAUUUAACGAAUUCACGUUAUGAUACAUUAUAUUCUAAGGUCCCUUUGAUCAGGGGAUGUGAAAAUUGAAAUUCGAGAAUUUGUCUGGGUUCUUUUGUACGUUCAAAGGAGAAUGGAAAAAUAUGCUUAAUUCUAAUUUUAGAUGUUUAUUUGCAAUUACAUCUUGAUAACAAGUAGGAUUAAUUACAAAAAUUAAAAAAUAAAAAAACCUUUGAGGCUUGCCUCAAAAUGCACUUUGGUUCUUGCUAUUUCAAAGUUAGCAAAUUUAGUUCCUAUGGCUUCUGAAUAACACAACAUUUUAUUCCUUGAUUACAAAAUUAUAUUUUUUCUAUACACUUUAGUCCUUGACAUUUUAAAUUAGAUUACAAUUUGAUGCAUAAGGCUUUAAAAUUUAAUUGUACUAUAGACCCUUAAUUAUUGUAUUCUAAAACAUUUUAAAAUUGCUAAUUUUAAAAUCUUAAGGACCAAAAUGUAUAUUAUUUAAACUGCAAGGAGAUUUUUUUGUUAUUAACACUAAGUAUUUCAAACUCACACUCAAACAAGUUGCAAUCUCUAUUCAUGAAUUUGGUACAUAUUAUAAAUAUCAUAACUCUCCUAUUAAAUUCAAAUUCUAUCAACUAAAAAUGUGUUCAGUUCCUAGGACAAGGAUCUCGUCACAGGUCGAUGAAUAGUCUUCUUUUAAAGCUGAUGCUUUGUUCUUGUUGCGGUUACAACUGCGCCUUAAAGGACUUAUGGUGAAUGAAAGCAGAAGCUCAUUUGAGGGAGCCCCAAACCUCAAGACUUGUUAAUAGAGAGAGUCUCAAACCUCAAUUGUAUUGACGAAAAUUUGUUUGCCUUGUUAAUUUAUCAAACCGUCUUUAUAUAGUAGAGGUUUACAGAGUGUAUUUAGAAUCCUAUCAGGAAU